GAUGAACGCUGGCGGCGUGCCUAAUACAUGCAAGUCGAGCGAACAGACGAGGAGCUUGCUCCUCUGACGUUAGCGGCGGACGGGUGAGUAACACGUGGAUAACCUACCUAUAAGACUGGGAUAACUUCGGGAAACCGGAGCUAAUACCGGAUAAUAUAUUGAACCGCAUGGUUCAAUAGUGAAAGGCGGUUUUGCUGUCUCUUAUAGAUGGAUCCGCGCCGCAUUAGCUAGUUGGUAAGGUAACGGCUUACCAAGGCAACGAUGCGUAGCCGACCUGAGAGGGUGAUCGGCCACACUGGAACGUAAACACGGUCCAGACUCCUACGGGAGGCAGCAGUAGGGAAUCUUCCGCAAUGGGCGAAAGCUUGACGGAGCAACGCCGCGUGAGUGAUGAAGGUCUUCGGAUCGUAAAACUCUGUUAUGAGGGAAGAACAAAUGUGUAAGUAACUAUGCACGGCUUGACGGUACCUAAUCAGAAAGCCACGGCUAACUACGUG
rnacentral:rRNA from 1 species